UGUUAUGUGGAUAAAUUUGUACUGAUUGCAACCACGGAAAAAAAUGCUAAAACGAUCCGA
rfam:Bacteroidetes bacterium GWB2_41_8 gwb2_scaffold_1814, whole genome shotgun sequence.